UACGUAGGGUGCGAGCGUUGUCCGGAAUUAUUGGGCGUAAAGAGCGUGUAGGCGGCCAUACAGGUCAGCUGUGAAAACUCGAGGCUCAACCUCGAGACGUCGGUUGAAACCGUAUGGCUAGAGUCCGGAAGAGGAGAGUGGAAUUCCCGGUGUAGCGGUGAAAUGCGCAGAUAUCGGGAAGAACACCCGUGGCGAAGGCGGCUCUCUGGGACGGUACUGACGCUGAGACGCGAAAGCGUGGGGAGCAAACAGG
rnacentral:rRNA from 1 species